rnacentral:rRNA from 1 species
GACGGAGGAUGCAAGCGUUAUCCGGAAUGAUUGGGCGGAAAGCGUCCGCAGGUGGCAGUUCAAGUCUGCUGUCAAAGACCGGGGCUUAACUUCGGAAAGGCAGUGGAAACUGAACAGCUAGAGUAUGGUAGGGGCAGAGGGAAUUCCUGGUGUAGCGGUGAAAUGCGUAGAGAUCAGGAAGAACAUCGGUGGCGAAGGCGCUCUGCUGGACCAUAACUGACACUCAGGGACGAAAGCUAGGGGAGCGGAUGGG